rnacentral:rRNA from 1 species
AUGUCUGUUGGUGUGUUGGCAUGGAAUGUUAGGGGGCUCAAUAACCCUGCUAGGCGUAACUCGGUCCGCUUAUUCCUACAAACUUGCAAUGUUUCACUCGUUUGUCUACAAGAAUCUAAGUUGGCCCUGGUGGAUGCUGCGGUUGUUGGGCAAACUCUUGGCCCAUCUUUUGAUGGCUUUGAUUUUCUUCCAGCGGAGGGUACCAGAGGAGGGAUCCUACUUGCAUGGAAAUCUGAUAGUCUGCUGGUUUCUACGGAACACAAGGGGAAAUUCUCUAUAACGAUUAAGGUUUCUUCUUUGACGGAUGGUAAAGAGUGGUUGGUUACAUCUGUCUAUGGACCUCAAGUAUAUGCUGAUAAAAUCAGAUUCCUCGAGGAAAUUGUAGAGGUUGGGAGUAAUAUUCAGUUGUCGUGGAUCUUGAAUGGGGACUUCAACUUGGUUUGCAAUGAAGAUGAGCGCAGUACGCAUAGGUUCAACAGGAGAUUGGCAAAUAGAUUCAGACACUCUAUUAACUCUUUGGGUCUUCAUGACAUGCCGUUGGUGGGUAGGAGGUUUACUUGGUGCAAUGAGCAAGAGCACACCGUGAUGGCUAGGUUGGAUCGUCUUCUAUUCAACAAUGCCUAG